GCGGAUCUGAGAGGAUGAUCAGUCACACUGGAACUGAUACACGGCCCAGACUCCUACAGGAGGCCGCAGUGGGGAAUAUUGCGCAGUGGGCGAAAGCCUGACGCAGCAACGCCGCGUGAGGGAUGAAGGCUUUCGGGUCGUAAACCUCUGUCAGAAGGGAAGAACGGGGGGUGGUCUCAUAUGGCCUCCAUUUUGACGGUACCUUCCGAGGAAGCACCGGCUAACUCCGUGCCAGCAGCCGCUUGUAAUACGGAGGGGGCAAGCGUUAUUCGGAAUUACUGGGCGUAAAGCGCACGUAGGCGGCUUCGUAAGUCAGGGGUGAAAUCCCAAGGCUCAACCGUGGAACUGCCUUUGAAACUGCGGAGCUUGAAUCCUGGAGAGGAUGGCGGAAUUCCUGGUGUAGAAGUGAAAUCCGUAGAUAUCAGGAGGAACACCGGUGGCGAAGGCGGCCACCUGGACAGGUAUUGACGCUGAGGUGCGAAAGUGUGGGGAGCAAACAGGAUUAGAUACCCUGGUAGUCCACGCCGUAACCGAUGGAUACUAGAUGCCGG
rnacentral:rRNA from 1 species